AACAAGGUCUCCGUAGGUGAACCUGCGGAGGGAUCAUUACACAAUAACAAGGCGGGCUGGACACCCCCCGCUGGGCACUGCUUCACGGCGUGCGCGGCGGGGCCGGCCCUGCUGAAUUAUUCACCCGUGUCUUUUGCGUACUUCUUGUUUCCUGGGUGGGCUCGCCCGCCCUCAGGACCAACCACAAACCUUUUGCAAUAGCAAUCAGCGUCAGUAACAACGUAAUUAAUUACAACUUUCAACAACGGAUCUCUUGGUUCUGGCAUCGAUGAAGAACGCAGCGAAAUGCGAUACGUAGUGUGAAUUGCAGAAUUCAGUGAAUCAUCGAAUCUUUGAACGCACAUUGCGCCCUUUGGUAUUCCAAAGGGCAUGCCUGUUCGAGCGUCAUUUGUACCCUCAAGCUUUGCUUGGUGUUGGGCGUCUUUUGUCUCCAGUUCGCUGGAGACUCGCCUUAAAGUCAUUGGCAGCCGGCCUACUGGUUUCGGAGCGCAGCACAAGUCGCGCUCUUCGCCAGCCAAGGUCAGCGUCCAGCAAGCCUUUUUUUCAACCUUUGACCUCGGAUCAGGUAGGGAUACCCGCUGAACUUAAGCAUA
rnacentral:rRNA from 1 species